CUAUUUGCUAUUUCAAUAAACGAAUAUCAAGUGCUGAUGUAGAGUACAGGUUUUUAUUUCCCGGGGGACAGGUGUUUGGCAAUGUAUAAGGAGUUACAAAAGAUUGAAUGGAAUAAUUGGGGCAAGUGUAUUCCUACUGUAUAUACUACCUAGCCAUAGUUGUACAGUCUAUUCCCACUUUUGCCUAGCUGGCCUCACAGUUAAGUCCCAGCAAAUUUAUUUUGAUGGGACUGUCUCCAUGUAUCUAGAAUACUGUUUUGUUGUGCACAGCUCCUAAACUUGCCUAUAAGUGUAUUGAACUUAGGUAACUUCAUUUAACCAAGUGAUAGAGCAUCAGCGCCCUGAUUCCUAAAAUAGUCUGAAUUUAUCUUAAUCAAAUUGUGCUCCAUGAGGAGCUUUCUUCUAACAGCUGUAGAACAUGAUGCCAUCCAUAGCUCUGAAAUGAGAAAGAAUGUCCUUUACUAGAAAUGGAAUUUGUGUAUUGUCUGAGAAUGUUGCUUUUCUCUUGUAAUAUAAAAUAGAGACUAUGUUCCUCUCAAAUUUGGAGAUGGUGGAACCGGAUUUUAUGCAAGACAUUGCAUUUUGUGUCCACAUCAAACUCUACAAACUUUAAUUCUCUGCAUACCAGUAUCUGGAUGACUUCGUUUCAAAUGCCUUUUUCUUCUAGGUACUCAGUCAAAUAUCACUGUUCAUUUCAAAAGGCAUGCAUUUUGUUCCUUCGAGUAUUCCAAAUGUAUUCCUUAUUUUGCCACUUCUAAGUUUCCCUUCUGUAAGGGCUUCCCAAUGUGUUUCUCUUUUGAUAGUACGCAAUAUUUAAUAGUUCUAGCUCUAAAAGUCCAACGUUCAUCUUUUUCUUGUUGCCUGUACCCCCUUCCCAUCCCUACUGUGAUGUCCAUGAUCCUGCUUGGGCCAUAAAUUUUCUUCUAGUUUGUUUAGUCAUAGAUGUUCCCUAAAUUAAAGCAAAACUAGUCUAAGGUAGAAAUGUUAUCAUCAUGUAUUAGCUGAUUUAACCCAUUUGUCUUUGAGUGCAACUUUGGAAACACGUGGUUAACAGCAGAAACCUAGUUUUCCUAAAAAUAAAGCUUUUUUUCCUAGCAGCUGUCAUGAAAGGCAUUCUUUCUCAUUUUAUUGAAGUUACACUGUCACUAAGUGUACUCUCCUCUCAUCCUUUUUUUUUCCUUUUUACCAUUUUUAUUCUUUCUUCUGAUUUUCUUUAAAGUCUAUAGCUUCUACCCUCUGUUCUACCUCUACCCACCAAGCCCCCUACAUAUUACAGAGGGUUCAUUUUAAUAAUGGCAGUGAUCUUGGUUAAGCUGUCUUUUCCAAUCUUUUAAAAAACCUUUUACCAGUCCUUUUUGGAAUAAUACCAAAAAGAAUUAAGAGCUUUUAUUCAGCCCUUUCAGUUAGAAGCAGACUCAGUUUUUAGGAACCCCAGGUUAUCCUCACGUGCUCUCUUUACCUAUCCCAGCAUUGUUUGAGCCUCAACUCAUUUAUUGAUGUUUGAGUCUUUUGCAGAAAGUUGUAUAAGAAGUUAUAUAUUCUAACACUCUUUCUAUUUGGCUUUGCUAUUUCUGUAUAAUGCCUCAUACUAACUAUCAACUGUCCGACUGGUGACUUUGAAUUAGUGGGUAUGAUCUAUAGGAUAGAUAGUACCUUUUUGCAUGUUUUCCUCCUUAUCGCCCAGAUCAAUUUUGCAGAUGGUAUGUAUUUUCUAAUGUAAAUUUACCCCUUCAGAAUUGGGUUGUUGGCAAUAAUAGGAACUGUGUUAUAAGCUGGGUGAGAAAGGUUUAAGAAAAAUGGACUGGAAUUAAUCCAAAGAGUUCUUAAAUAAGCCAGUCAUCAGAAGUUCUUUCCAGUUCAGGAGGGGGAAGUUAAGGGCAGAAAGGAAGAACCGUAUUCCUAAGAAGAAAUCUGUGGGUUCAACUACCAGCUCAACACCAAGUUGUGCUAUUUCUGCUUCCCACUUGUACCAGUUUUAUCUGAAAAAAUAGCAGUGGAAAAUGAGGAGCCAUUUUGAAAAAAUAUGGUAGUAUGAGGAAUUAUGAUCCUUGUCCUUUAUAAUGUUUUAGGCUAUCAAGCUGCUUUCCUAUGUGCUGAUUUUUUUUCUUCCCAACAAUGCUGGUUGGACAGAGAACAAUGUUCCCAUCUUACUAGUGAGGAAGCUGCAGAUUGGCAAAUAUAGCAAAUGAUUUGCUCCCAUUCCCACAGCAAGUCAACCCAUCUUAUACUAAAACAGGUAAUAUCUGCAGACUGCUGAAUGCAUUUCUGUGCCAUAAACUGACUUAGAAUGUUUUAUUGAGUGGGAAUUAUGUCAGGCCUAGUCUAAGAAUAAUAUAAAACCUACUUAUUGUACACAAAAUAUGUUUCUAAAGUAUUUCGUUUCCACUGUUUAUUUUAGCCAGUUAUUUUUUUUAAUGCAUACUUUGGAAGGUCUGCACUAAUUGCCAGGACUUCUGUAUUAGGGCUUAGAGUAAUGAAAUUCUAUUUUUGCCCCUGUUAAAAAAAAAAUCCUUUUUAAAGAAUAUCCCUAAACUACUGAUACAAAGGGAAACUUCCUAAAUAAUAACUACUUUUGAAAAAGUGUUUUAAAGACCAAGGUCAGCAACACAUAAUUGAAAUUUGGUUUUGUAGAUUGAAAUGCAAUUUACUUAAAAAUAAAGUGAAUGCAAGUUUCUUGAAGGGAAUGUGCUGGGUAAUCUAUUGUAGUUCCCAGAUACUCUCGGUAAAAAUGUAAAAUUAUUGACCUCUCUGAGAUAGCUCUGUCUCCCACUUAUUUGAAUUGGUUUUAUUUUGUUUUCCCACUUUUCCAGCCACAUAAGAUCUCUGGGUGACAGUUUAAGCAUACCUUUGCCCAGAGGGUUAAGAAAAAUAAUGAGAUGUAUUUGUACAGUUUUUAGUAAGCUCUUUAUAAAUAUAAAGAGAUAGGAAAUUUGGGCUAUUUCAUCAGUAUUUUAGGAGUUACUAAUGAAAAAUGUAGAUCAGAUUGCCCUCACUAAUGCCUCUUUGUGAUAUUAAAAAAAAUAAAUGACUGACUGCAUAGGACUUUACAAAAAGAGCUCUUCAAAAAAACACAAGGACAUACGGUCAUUUUUUUAACUUUUAUAACGAUAGGUGCUUUAAGAGAAGUAUUUUUCCAGAAUGGUUUUAUAGUAAACAUAAAGGGCAGCUUUUGCAUUGUAAUGUGUAGGUGGAUGGUCAUCUUUAGGUUACUAAGAAAUCAUGAAGUGUUCCCUAAGGAGAAACUCCAAAAACUUCUUGGCAGGAAGAAAAAGCAUCGGUUUCUGUUUUUUUCAUUUUCUCUUAUGCUACGAGUUAACCUCCCAAGGAGAUUCACAUGUAUAUCAAUAUCUUGGUUCAAAGGAGAAGACUGAAUUUUUAUCAUUAGUGGGAGGAAAAUAUUCAUACUCUUCACCAAGGCAAAAUAGAAUAGUAUUGACUUCCCAAUAGAGAAAUAGCAAUUUCACAAAUAAUAUCCUAUCUCUAGCUGACCUCUUCUCUCUUGGGGGUGUAUUUACUAUUUAUCUUGUACUUUUUUUUUUUUUUUUCCUUUGGAGGAUUUUACCUAUUGCCGUCCUACUGUAUUAAAUAUCCUGUACCAUGAAAUAGGUCAGCAAGGAAAAGAUUUUAAAACCCCAUAAAUACCUGGUUUUGGUUCUUAACAUACGGGGGAAACAGUUUAAAGAAAAAGCACUUCAACAUGGAGAAGGGAAAGAGAUCAUCUGAAUCCUGAUGAUUUCAAUUCAGGAUCAACAUGUAGUGCUCUGCAUACAUGGGAACACUUACUAGCAGUACUUGAAGACUUGUGAGUUGGAAUUGCAUGUUACUUGAAAGACCUAAUUAAGCUAAAUUUUGGUGCACAGCAGUUGUACAUGAUUUCAUGUUUAUGUAGCAAAAUGAAAUGUACUAGUUUUGAAAUAUACAUGUACAGAUAGUUGUGAAAAUUGUCUAUUGUAUUUUCCUUGUGUGUCUCAUUUAUUUAGAGCAUAAAGUUUCUUUUUUUUUUAAAAAAAAAGUUGUUCUAACUGAAUAAGGCUAAAUGAAUACUGUAAUUGAAAUUAUAUUUUAAAUCUUGUCAUGAGUUUUUUAAAAAAAAAAAACUAUUGCAAAUUGUAUCAUUCCUGAUUACACAGAACUUUGUGGCUGGUUUUAAAUAAAUUUUAUACU
rnacentral:lncRNA from 1 species